GUGACCCAGGGCUGAAGGCAACCAAGUGGACUGUGACUCAAGGAGCUGCUGCUGGAUGGACUUCAACUUUGUGUUGAUGUGGAGGAGAGCAAGAAUGCUGUCAAGGCCAGGCAUCAGUCUUUCUAUUGCAUGGGCUCCAGGCAUGAUUGGUUUGGGUCCAAUUCUCCAAAGUUCUUUGCAAACUAAGUAGCUCUACUGAGGUGACUCUUUGGGCAGGUGCCUUGCUCUGCCACCUCCCUCUUAGGGUGGAUGGCUCCUUGCAUCUCCCAGCCAGCUGAGCAUGCUGUGCAAAACUGCCAUCUCCAGCUCUGUGCACAGAGCACCGUGUAAACAAAAGGCUCUAAGCAUGCUGCCUCACAGCCUCCAGAGCAAAGGUGGCCCCAGGGCACUUGCCAUGGAUUUUCCACCCACAGGUGCCACCACCCUUCCGGAAGGAAGCAGUCAGCCUUGUUUUGAGCAGCUGCCUUGCAAAUGCAUCCUCUCUAGCAUGCAGCUGCCUGACCCGGGACAAAGCUACCUGUGGCCUCAAGGAGUGAAACACAGCAUUGAAAACUGAAAGUGCUGCACACAGACAGAGCAAGGGAUGCUCUCCACCAGCUCCUGUAACAAGCACCUUUCUGCUUUUCAGUCUUUGUCAGGAACAGGAAUGAUCUCUGUAGUUUCUUAUCCUGCCUGGUGCUGCCUUUGCAUCUGCUGCAGAGCAGAAAUUCAAGGAGAUGGAUGAAGACCUUGAUCUGCUUUGUGGAAAUAUUUCUACUGUUUUCAGCUUAGGUAAAGGUGUUUAGUUAACAGAUCCUACCUGCUGGCACUAAAGAACAUGAGAUUCUCUCAGAUUUUUUGCCAGCAUUCCUCGUACUUUUGUGUUGCUUCAAACAGGAAACAAUGCUCAUGGAAAAGCUUCUAGCUGCUCCAGAAUGGGUCCCUGGAAACUUAGUCAGCUAGUUGCAAUGCAGACUUCAGAAGUGCUCUUACCACAUGUGCUACCUCUUAGAAGCCAAGGAGGGAUUCCUAGGGCUAGGAAGAGAGAGUGUAUGCCACCAUGUGGCAGUAGAUUCCCAAGUGUGGAGCUCAGGAAAGCUCCAGGCAGGACCAGCUCAUUGCUCAGGCUGGAGGAUGGCCUGACCAUCACAGGCAGAACUUCAGUGAGGAGCUAUGACUUUCUGUGCAUGGACAGGGAAGUGCUGUACAGGCACCCUGUCCCAUCUCCAAGGGCACCAGCCAUCCCCUCCAUGAAGGUAAGAUUUAUUCUGCAAUUGAGUAGCCCUGAAAUUUACCAUGGAAGACAAUGUUAAUCUGAGAAUUGUGUUCCAGCACCAAAGACCCAUUAUUCACAGUGACAGCCUGCAGAGCUGAAAAUAAACAAAGAACAAAGUCAAAUCAAGUAGCUUUGGACAGAAACCACCCUGCCUCAAGGCAGAAAACAACUUAUAAGCAAGAGAGACAACUUCUGAGGAAGAAACUCUUUUGGAAGCACAUUAUCCUACUGAUGCAAAGCUUCUUGCCUUUCUCUCAGAAGCAGCUAAAAACUGGCCUGCUAGAAAACUUCGGGCAAGAUGGAGAGGAAGUGUGUCUAAGAGGAUAGACCAUGCUGGCAGACCUCCAACGCCACGUGCUGAUUUGCCCUGGUGGAGACUCUAACCUGUUGCUGUCUGGGAAAACCAGAUCUGUGUGCCCUUGAGAAGAGCACAUAGAAGAUCAGAGUGUAGACUGAGGAAAAAUGCACCAGAUCUACCCCUUCUGCUUUUAAAGGUCAUCCACUUGGGCUCACACUGCAGCUCACACUGGUUGGACAAACAGGUCUUCAUAUACAGUAACAAACACUCAAAUCAAAAAGCAUUUGAAAAUAUCAUCCUGUCUGGCUGUUCCAGAUGAGUUUUGUAGUGAAUCUGGAGGUGCCCUUUUCCUGGAGUGCUGUGCUCCCAUUAUGCUGCCCACAAGCUGCAUGGGAUCAGGGCUCAGCACCAUGGCUUACCAGAGACAGUCACCUUAAUCAGCUUAAACCACAGCUUGACUCAGGCCUCAAACUGUGCCACCCAUCUCAAGGGAAGGUUGCUGAAACAGAGAGUGACUGCCCUGAAAAUUCCUCCUGUGGUCACUUUUGUAAAGUCCUGCUUAGCUCGGAAAGGGAUGGGGAAAAAAGUUAGUGGCACUCUGUCUCUAAAAAACAGAGUGUUUCAGCUGUGAUUCAUUUUGUUUGAGGAUUUGGCCUGUUUUGCUAAUUUGUGGGAAGCCAAUUCAGCAGAGUUGGUAACCAGUUGUUUGCUGAUGCUGCCUUUGGGAUGGUUGUCACCUUCCACCUGGGAAACGUGGGGGGCCCCAACACAGAUUGGGCACAAUAAUAUCCUUGGAGAUGUGCAGAGAUGGGCCUCUUGUGUCUGUGGGGCUAGUCUGGCUGACUUUUCUUCUUUCUUUGAAAGAGCAAUAAACACCUCUGGACCACCCCAUGGAGGACUGAGUUGUAGCACAUUGUCCUCAAUUUGCCUUCUGCUCCCACUGCCUGCUGUCCUUGCUUCUUUGUGGCAUGUGUGAGGAUGGAUAUGUCUGUCCCAAGAAAUUGUCUGCAGUAAUUUUGCAGUACCUUCGACAUCGGACAGACUACUUGUGGCCCACAGACCACAGGCUGAGAAAUACUGUGUGGGGUGAUGUCUACUGAGUUGCCUCCCAGAACUCAGGUUCUUUGAAACACAUGAAAAAAAGCAGUUUAUGUCCUGGAAAAGACAUUGCCUUGGGCAGACAAGCACGGGGGACGCAAAGACAGGGACACCCCACCACCCAGCUGGACUGUCCUCUAGCCCAGGGACCUGACUCUCCCAGAGUUACUGUCUGAGCAGCCCAGGUGAAGAUUUAGGGGGUCCCAUUUGCAGCUGUGCUGUGACAUGAGAUAGGGAUGCUGGCAAAGGGCAGGCAGGUAAGGAGGUGCAGUGUGGGUCUGUGGUGGGAGGGAGCAGAGGGGGA